UUUGCGGCCGUGCGAGCAAGAUGGCACGGCGCGCAUGAAUGGGACGGAGCGAGAUUUUUGUGCAAUUCAUUGAAAAAAGUACAAACAGCACAGGGCCCACACACCAACACAGCCUGCUGCAGGUCACAGCCAGAGUCAGGCCAACAGAAGUAGAAGUACUUUGUGUUGUUCAGCAGACGUUUUUCGUUCGACGCGUAGUUGCAUGGUUGAAAAUCGCGAAAAUUCGUCGGAAAAGUGCUUUUGAGAAGGUUAAUUUUGGUGAAAAGUUGCACGACGCGUUCGCGGGAAUCAUUUUGUGGUGUUUUGCGAAGUAGUUACGCGUGUGAAACAGCCAGCCUGAACCGUAGUUUGUACUCACAGAGUAGUGUUCUCGCAGUGUGUGUCUGAAACCUCGCCGAGGAUGAUGACGCCGACGACGACGACGGCGUCCAACGAAAAGCAGCGACAAAGAAUGGUUACACAAUACUGGUAUCGGGAUGGAAUUUGAGUGUUGUGUUGUCCUCUGCGAUAGUGCGAUCCGUUCCAGAAGGCCAGCAGCGUAGUCAUGAAGCGAUUCAAGUGAC